rnacentral:lncRNA from 1 species
AAGACGGACCAUCUCACAGAGAAGGCCUAUUCAGACACACCCAGGGACUUCCCUGAUUCCUUCCAGGCUGGCAGCCCUGGCCAUCUGGGUGUGAUCCGGGACUUCUCCAUUGAGUCUCUGCUGAGGGAGAACCUGUAUCCCAAAGCCAACAUCCCUGACAGGAGACCCUCCUUAUCUCCAUUUGCCCCAGAUUUCUUCCCACACCUUUGGCCAGGGGACUUCGGUGCCUUUGCCCAGCUGCCUGAGCAGCCAAUGGACAGUGGGCCACUGGAUCUGGUCAUCAAGAACCGGAAGAUCAAGGAGGAGGAGAAGGAGGAGUUGCCGCCCCCCCCACCCCCACCCUUCCCUAGUGACUUCUUCAAGGACAUCUUCCCUGACCUGCCUGGGGGGCCGCUGGGCCCUAUCAAGGCGGAGAAUGACUAUGGUGCCUAUCUCAACUUCCUGAGUGCCACCCAUCUGGGGGAGCCUCUUCCCACCCUGGCCGCUGGUAGAGGAGCGCAAGCUGAAGCCCAAGGCCUCUCAGCAGUGCCCCAUCUGCCACAAAGUCAUCAUGGGGGCCGGGGAAACUACCAAGGCACAUGAGGACCCACACCGGAGAAGCCACACAUGUGCAACAUCUGCGAGGCAGGACAAACUGAAGAUCCACAUGCGGAAGCACUACGGGGAACGGCCCUACCUGUGCAUUCACUGCAACGCCAAGUUCGUGCACAACUACGACCUCAAGAAUCACAUGCGUAUCCACACCGGGGUGCGGCCCUACCAGUGCGAGUUCUGCUACAAGAGCUUCACGCGCUCUGACCACCUGCACCGCCACAUCAAGCGCCAGAGCUGUCGCAUGGCGAGGCCCCGGCGCGGCCGCAAGCCCGCCGCCUGGAGGGCCGCCAGCCUGCUCUUUGGGCCCGGCGGCCCUGCGCCGGAGAAGGCGGCCUCGUGAUGCCGCCGCGCACUGGGCGAGGUGGGCAGCCACCUGAGCAGCGCAGCGGUGUGCCUCCCGGGGCCCAGCCCCGCCAAGCACUUCCUGGCGGCGCCCAAGGGCGCCCUGAGCCUGCAGGAGCUCGAGCGCCAGUUCGAGGAGACACAGAUGAAGCUGUUCGGGCGCGCGCAGCUGGAGGCCGAGAGGAAGCGGGGGGCCUCCUGGCCUUCGCCCUGGCCGAGAAUGUGGCCGCCGCGAGGCCCUACUUCCCACUGCCUGACCCCUGGGCUGCAGGCUUGGCCAGCCUCCCGGGCUCGCCAGCCUCAACCACGUGGCCUCUAUGUCUGAAGCCAACAACUAGGCUGGCCCUGAUAGACCUGCCCCACCGGCCCUGUCCCCUCUUACCAGGCCUGACUGCCCCCUCAAGUGGGUGUGAACUUCACAUUUUACAAACACAAGAGGAAUGAAACGAUAUAUAUUAGCAGCCAUGGUUGUUCUCCAGGCCUCCGAGGGCAGCGCCUCCUUUUCGCUGGUGUCAGAGAUGGGCAUCACUUCUCAGGGGUCUGGAGCCUGGGGCCACCUCUCCCUGGCUGUCUCUCUGUCUCACACAGAAACUUACAGAGGCCAUGCCACACCAGAGGGCCCCUAUGCUGGGUGCCCAGAGCACCUUGGAGCCCUGGGGUCUAUAAGGAGGGAACUGUUACUCCUGAAAGGGGGCAGGAUAAAGGAAGAACAAGAGUAGGGUCCUGCAUAUGCAACUUGAUCGAGCCCUACUGUCUGACAGGGGAAUUCCUUCUAGCACUGCUCUGGGGCUCAUUUUCCAAUGCCCCGAGGUCUGGGAUCCUUUAGAGCAAUGACCAUUUGCCACAUAAAAAGAGAUCCCAUUGACAGCAAAACGUCCAGGGAUAAGGAGCCAGCUGCUGGAAUCUGGGUCCAUGUUUCCCAUUUUUCCCCAAGGACAGCUGUGUCCUAACAGGUCAGCCCUCUGUGCCUCUGUGUCACCUACUAUGAAGAAGUUUACUAAUUUAGGUUCCCCUCCCCUAGCUCCUGCACCUAUAUACACCUGUCCUCCAAAGAGGAUCGUGGAGAGGUAGGAACUUUACACUCCCAAUUUCCCUGGUGAAAGUUUCUCUUACUGGGUACUUGGUUUUAUUACCUCCACCUCAACCUUAUCAUACUAGUACAGGCAAGAAAUGUGGCCAAAGUAGACAGGGGGAGGGUAUGAGGUGGGUGUCACCACUUGUCCACAGCCCACAGGCAGCUCUGGGGGACUCUAGGCUGCCCCAAUUCCUGCAAGCCCUGUUUUGGUCCGCACCCCAGGGAACACCCAUCAGCAUUUGGCCCACUCCCACAUGCCAUCUCCAGUGCUGUACAGAGUCUCUUGGGGUUCCUGGGGCCAACGUUAAAGGGACAAGGCCAGAUAUUUGUACCUGACAACUGCCUCCCUUCCCACAAUUCUUGAACCUAGACAAAGCACCUGGUUACCCAGGGUUCAUCUGUUUGCUUCUUGAGGUAGGGGUUUCUGUAGGCCCCAGCCUUAAUGAUGAUUGCCCCCUUUGCAGUAUUUGAGCCUCUCCCUAGCCCUUUCUUCCACCCUCCAGGGACAAAGUUCCAGUAUUUGGCUUCUCUCUUGACAGAAGUGCUCAGUAUGGGCAGAGGUCUGGGGUUUCAAGGGCCCUGUGUCUUAGGAGGUCAUACACUAUCCUGCUCUGAGGUUGAUGGCAGGUCCAGAGAAGGAAGACAGCUCUGCUGGCCCAGUGCCUUCCGGACUCUGCUCCUCUUUUCUUCCCUGCCUUCUUUCUCUAGCUGAGUCUACUUUGAUUGCUCAGUAUCCUGGAGAGGAAAGUGUACCUGCGCAGAGGGUCCAGGACUGCCCCCCCCCAGUCCCCAAGCUGUGGCACAAGAGCUUGGCUCUUCUUAUUGCCUUGGCUUUUUUUCCUGAGCAAACACAACAAACAAAAAGGCCAGAGAAGACCACAGACUCUGUUCCUCUCACAGCUCCCCAGAAGAGACUUCCUUAUGUCACCAGAUGCCAUUUCAGCCAGGUGGAAACCCAGGCACCCUCUGCAGUCACCUGCCUGGUAACCACCUCGAAGAUUCUUGUGUCCAUUUCAGACAGUUGCUUCCGGGAUCCACCAGCUGACUUGCCUGAGCUCCCACAUCACCAAGGGACUGGGCUGAUCUCAACGUACAAGGAAAAAAAUGAACAAAGUGGAAUCCAGUGGUGUUGGGGCUUUUGUUUUUAUUUUGUAAAGGUAAUGACUUCUUAUAAACUCAAUUUUUCAGAUGACUGGUUAGUUCUUUUUGUUUUUUCUUGGCUGAAGUUUGGCGCUAGACAUUGUAAAAUAUCCAAAGAUGUCAAGUAAUCGUAUGAUGAAGAACUUGAAGCAAAU